rnacentral:rRNA from 1 species
GAUGAACGCUGGCGGCGUGCCUAAUACAUGCAAGUCGAGCGAAUCAAUAGGAGCUUGCUCCUGUUGGUUAGCGGCGGACGGGUGAGUAACACGUGGGCAACCUGCCUGUAAGACUGGGAUAACACCGGGAAACCGGUGCUAAUACCGGAUAAUCCUUUUCCUCUCAUGAGGAAAAGCUGAAAGUCGGUUUCGGCUGACGCUUACAGCUGGGCCCGCGGCGCAUUAGCUAGUUGGUGAGGUAACGGCUCACCAAGGCGACGAUGCGUAGCCGAGCUGAGAGGGUGAUCGGCCACACUGGGACUGAGACACGGCCCAGACUCCUACGGGAGGCAGCAGUAGGGGAUCUUCCACAAUGGACGAAAGUCUGAUGGAGCAACGCCGCGUGAGCGAUGAAGGCCUUCGGGUCGUAAAGCUCUGUUGUUAGGGAAGAACAAGUACCGGAGUAACUGCCGGUACCUUGACGGUACCUAACCAGAAAGCCACGGCUAACUACGUGCCAGCAGCCGCAGUAAGAC